CAAUAGCGUAUAUUAAAGUUGUUGCAGUUAAAAAGCUCGUAGUUGAAUUUCUGUCAGGAGUGACCGGGCCUUUGGAUGAACUUCCAUUGUUUUUUGCUCUGUUUGUCAUCUCUAGACAUCCUGAAAUAUUUUUUAAAAAUAUUUCUCUUUUACUGUUAGCAAAAUAGAGUGUUCCAAGCAAAGCGUAGUUUUGAAUACAUUAGAAUGGAAUAAUAAGAUAGGACUUUGGUGCUAUUUUGUUGGUUUGCACACCAAGGUAAUGAUUAAUAGGGACAGUUGGGGGUAUUCGUAUUUAAUUGUCAGAGGUGAAAUUCUUGGAUUUAUGAAAGACGAACUACUGCGAAAGCGUCUGCCAAGGAUGUUUUCAUUGA
rnacentral:rRNA from 1 species